UACGUAGGGUGCAAGCGUUGUCCGGAAUUAUUGGGCGUAAAGAGCUCGUAGGCGGUUUGUUGCGUCGGCUGUGAAAUCCCGAGGCUCAACCUCGGGUCUGCAGUCGAUACGAGCAAACUAGAGUGUUGCAGGGGAGACUGGAAUUCCUGGUGUAGCGGUGAAAUGCGCAGAUAUCUGGAGGAACACCGGUGGCGAAGGCGGCAUCCUGGACCGGCAUUGACGCUGAGGAGCGAAAGCCAGGGGAGCAAACGGG
rnacentral:rRNA from 1 species